rnacentral:rRNA from 1 species
AGAGUUUGAUCAUGGCUCAGAUUGAACGCUGGCGGCAUGCCUUACACAUGCAAGUCGAACGGCAGCACGGGAGCAAUCCUGGUGGCGAGUGGCGAACGGGUGAGUAAUAUAUCGGAACGUGCCCAGUCGUGGGGGAUAACGUAGCGAAAGCUACGCUAAUACCGCAUACGAUCUACGGAUGAAAGCGGGGGAUCGCAAGACCUCGCGCGAUUGGAGCGGCCGAUAUCAGAUUAGCUAGUUGGUGGGGUAAAAGCCCACCAAGGCGACGAUCUGUAGCUGGUCUGAGAGGACGACCAGCCACACUGGAACUGAGACACGGUCCAGACUCCUACGGGAGGCAGCAGUGGGGAAUUUUGGACAAUGGGCGCAAGCCUGAUCCAGCAAUGCCGCGUGCAGGAUGAAGGCCCUUCGGGUUGUAAACUGCUUUUGUACGGAACGAAACGGUUCGCUUUAAUACAGUGGGCUAAUGACGGUACCGUAAGAAUAAGCACCGGCUAACUACGUGCCAGCAGCCGCGGUAAUAC